rnacentral:rRNA from 1 species
CCGUGGGGGGAGCUAUACAUGCAGUAGAACGCUGAAGAGAGGAGCUUGCUCUUCUUGGAUGAGUUGCGAACGGGUGAGUAACGCGUAGGUAACCUGCCUUGUAGCGGGGGAUAACUAUUGGAAACGAUAGCUAAUACCGCAUAACAAUGGAUGACACAUGUCAUUUAUUUGAAAGGGGCAAUUGCUCCACUACAAGAUGGACCUGCGUUGUAUUAGCUAGUAGGUGAGGUAAUGGCUCACCUAGGCGACGAUACAUAGCCGACCUGAGAGGGUGAUCGGCCACACUGGGACUGAGACACGGCCCAGACUCCUACGGGAGGCAGCAGUAGGGAAUCUUCGGCAAUGGGGGCAACCCUGACCGAGCAACGCCGCGUGAGUGAAGAAGGUUUUCGGAUCGUAAAGCUCUGUUGUAAGUCAAGAACGGGUGUGAGAGUGGAAAGUUCACACUGUGACGGUAGCUUACCAGAAAGGGACGGCUAACUACGUGCCAGCAGCCGCGGUAAUACGUAGGUCCCGAGCGUUGUCCGGAUUUAUUGGGCGUAAAGCGAGCGCAGGCGGUUUGAUAAGUCUGAAGUUAAAGGCUGUGGCUCAACCAUAGUUCGCUUUGGAAACUGUCAAACUUGAGUGCAGAAGGGGAGAGUGGAAUUCCAUGUGUAGCGGUGAAAUGCGUAGAUAUAUGGAGGAACACCGGUGGCGAAAGCGGCUCUCUGGUCUGUAACUGACGCUGAGGCUCGAAAGCGUGGGGAGCGAACAGGAUUAGAUACCCUGGUAGUCCACGCCGUAAACGAUGAGUGCUAGGUGUUGGAUCCUUUCCGGGAUUCAGUGCCGCAGCUAACGCAUUAAGCACUCCGCCUGGGGAGUACGACCGCAAGGUUGAAACUCAAAGGAAUUGACGGGGGCCCGCACAAGCGGUGGAGCAUGUGGUUUAAUUCGAAGCAACGCGAAGAACCUUACCAGGUCUUGACAUCCCGAUGCUAUUUCUAGAGAUAGAAAGUUACUUCGGUACAUCGGUGACAGGUGGUGCAUGGUUGUCGUCAGCUCGUGUCGUGAGAUGUUGGGUUAAGUCCCGCAACGAGCGCAACCCCUAUUGUUAGUUGCCAUCAUUCAGUUGGGCACUCUAGCGAGACUGCCGGUAAUAAACCGGAGGAAGGUGGGGAUGACGUCAAAUCAUCAUGCCCCUUAUGACCUGGGCUACACACGUGCUACAAUGGUUGGUACAACGAGUUGCGAGUCGGUGACGGCGAGCUAAUCUCUUAAAGCCAAUCUCAGUUCGGAUUGUAGGCUGCAACUCGCCUACAUGAAGUCGGAAUCGCUAGUAAUCGCGGAUCAGCACGCCGCGGUGAAUACGUUCCCGGGCCUUGUACACACCGCCCGUCACACCACGAGAGUUUGUAACACCCGAAGUCGGUGAGGUAACCUUUUGAGCCAGCCGCUAAAGGUGAACCAAGAG